rnacentral:rRNA from 1 species
AUUGAACGCUGGCGGCGUGCUUAACACAUGCAAGUCGAUCGGUAACGCGGGGGCAACCCUGGCGACGAGAGGCGGACGGGUGAGGAACGCUUGGGAAUCUGCCUAUCAGCGGGGGACAACCCGGGGAAACUCGGGCUAAUACCGCAUACGCUCUACGGAGGAAAGCCGGGGACCGCAAGGCCUGGCACUGAUAGCGGAGCCCAAGUCGGAUUAGUUCGUUGGCGGGGUAACGGCCCACCAAGGCGACGAUCCGUAGCUGGGCGGAGAGGACGAUCAGCCACACUGGGACUGAGACACGGCCCAGACUCCGACGGGAGGCAGCAGUGGGGAAUAUUGGACAAUGGGGGAAACCCUGAUCCAGCGACGCCGCGUGGGUGAAGAAGGCCUGCGGGUUGUAAAGCCCUUUCGGUAGGGACGAAAGCUCUCGACCUAACACGUCGGGAGGUUGACUUAACCUACAAAAGAAGCACCGGCUAACUCUGUGCCAGCAGCCGCCGUAACAC